rnacentral:rRNA from 1 species
CCUACGGGUGGCAGCAGUGAGGAAUAUUGGUCAAUGGGCGCGAGCCUGAACCAGCCAAGUCGCGUGCAGGAUGACGGCCCUAUGGGUUGUAAACUUCUUUUGUACGGGAGUAAACUGAUCCACGUGUGUCUUUCUGAAUGUAACUUACGAAUAAGGAUCGGCUAACUCCGUUCCAGCAGCCGCGGUAAUACGGAGGGUUCAAGCGUUAUCCGGAUUUAUUGGGUUUAAAGGGUUCGUAGGCGGGCGGAUAAGUUAGAGGUGAAAUAUUUAGGCUUAACCUCGGAAGUGCCUUUGAUACUGAUAGUCUUGAGAGCAGUUGAGGUAGGCGGAAUGCAUGGUGUAGCGGUGAAAUGCUUAGAUAUCACGCAGAACACCGAUUGCGAAGGCAGCUUACCAAGCUACCACUGACGUUGAGGCACGAAAGCGUGGGUAUCAAACAGGAUUAGAUACCCGGGUAGUC